rnacentral:tRNA from 1 species
UGGCUCAGUGGUUAGGAGCACUGGCUGCUAAUCCAGAGGAUCUGGGUUCAAUUCCCAG